rnacentral:rRNA from 1 species
ACACGGAGGGCGCAAGCGUUGCUCGGAAUCACUGGGCGGAAAGCGGGUGUAGGCGGUCUAGCAAGUCAGAUGUGAAAGCCCACGGCUCAACCGUGGAAGUGCAUCUGAAACUGCUAGACUUGAGUGCCGGAGAGGGAAGUGGAAUUCCUGGUGUAGGGGUGAAAUCCGUAGAUAUCAGGAGGAACACCGGUGGCGAAGGCGACUUCCUGGACGGCCACUGACGCUGAGACCCGAAAGCGUGGGGAGCAAACAGGAUUAGAAACCCUAGUAGUCC